rnacentral:rRNA from 1 species
UGCAGUAGGACGCACAGUUUAUACCGUAGCUUGCUACACCAUAGACUGUGAGUUGCGAACGGGUGAGUAACGCGUAGGUAACCUACCUAUUAGAGGGGGAUAACUAUUGGAAACGAUAGCUAAUACCGCAUAACAGUAUGUAACACAUGUUAGAUGCUUGAAAGAUGCAAUUGCAUCGCUAGUAGAUGGACCUGCGUUGUAUUAGCUAGUAGGUAGGGUAAUGGCCUACCUAGGCAACGAUACAUAGCCGACCUGAGAGGGUGAUCGGCCACACUGGGACUGAGACACGGCCCAGACUCCUACGGGAGGCAGCAGUAGGGAAUCUUCGGCAAUGGGGGGAACCCUGACCGAGCAACGCCGCGUGAGUGAAGAAGGUUUUCGGAUCGUAAAGCUCUGUUGUUAAGGAAGAACGAGUGUGAGAAUGGAAAGUUCAUGCUGUGACGGUACUUAACCAGAAAGGGACGGCUAACUACGUGCCAGCAGCCGCGGUAAUACGUAGGUCCCGAGCGUUGUCCGGAUUUAUUGGGCGUAAAGCGAGCGCAGGCGGUUAGAAAAGUCUGAAGUGAAAGGCAGUGGCUCAACCAUUGUAGGCUUUGGAAACUGUUUAACUUGAGUGCAGAAGGGGAGAGUGGAAUUCCAUGUGUAGCGGUGAAAUGCGUAGAUAUAUGGAGGAACACCGGUGGCGAAAGCGGCUCUCUGGUCUGUAACUGACGCUGAGGCUCGAAAGCGUGGGGAGCGAACAGGAUUAGAUACCCUGGUAGUCCACGCCGUAAACGAUGAGUGCUAGGUGUUAGUCCUUUCUGGGACUUAGUGCCGCAGCUAACGCAUUAAGCACUCCGCCUGGGGAGUACGACCGCAAGGUUGAAACUCAAAGGAAUUGACGGGGGCCCGCACAAGCGGUGA